rnacentral:rRNA from 1 species
UGGGGAAUAUUGGACAAUGGGCGAAAGCCUGAUCCAGCCAUGCCGCGUGUGUGAAGAAGGUCUUCGGAUUGUAAAGCACUUUAAGUUGGGAGGAAGGGCAUUAACCUAAUACGUUAGUGUUUUGACGUUACCGACAGAAUAAGCACCGGCUAACUCUGUGCCAGCAGCCGCGGUAAUACAGAGGGUGCAAGCGUUAAUCGGAAUUACUGGGCGUAAAGCGCGCGUAGGUGGUUUGUUAAGGUGGAUGUGAAAGCCCCGGGCUCAACCUGGGAACUGCAUCCAAAACUGGCAAGCUAGAGUACGGUAGAGGGUGGUGGAAUUUCCUGUGUAGCGGUGAAAUGCGUAGAUAUAGGAAGGAACACCAGUGGCGAAGGCGACCACCUGGACUGAUACUGACACUGAGGUGCGAAAGCGUGGGGAGCAAACA